rnacentral:rRNA from 1 species
UACAGAGGGGGCAAGCGUUGUUCGGAAUCAUUGGGCGUAAAAGGGCGCGUAGGUGGCCCGGUCAGUUCGUGGUGAAAGCGCGGGGCUCAACCCUGCGUCGGCCAUGAAUAACUGCCGCGGCUGGAGCACUGUAGAGGCAGGCGGAAUUCCGGGGUGUAGGCGGUGGAAUGCGUAGAGAUCCGGAAGAAUCACCGGUGGCGAAGGCGGCCUGCUGGGCAGUUGCUGACACUGAGGCGCGACAGCGGUGGGGAGCAAACAGG